GUUACCAUAUUUUUAUUUUAUGUUUACUUAUCUUAUGCUAUUGUUUAUGAAUUGUCAUUUGGGUUUCUGACCUAUAUAACUUUCUGCGGUUUCUUGAAAUUCUCUAUGGUAGUGUGUUUUUGUCUUUCAUACAGUAUAACUAUGCCAUGGGCAGCUGAUCAUAUAACAAGAUACUAAAAGCGUACCUAUAUCCAAAGCUGCAUGCACACAGCCUUUAUAAUCUAGCAGCGCCAUCUCACCCCAAGUCUUUAAGUGUCAAUCCGCCCUUCAGAGUUCCCCCGUUGAUGAUAAAAGGUAUCCAAAUUAACAUAAUAACUUACUAUGUUUAUUAUCAAGGAAUUUGUAUAUAUGCAUAUGCUACUGCUAAUUGGACCGUUUGUGAGAAAUGCCACUACAUGUUUUAAUUUCUUAGAGCAGCCACAAUGGGACGCUUAACCAUCAGCGCUAGAUCCUGGCUGUUUUAGCUAAUUCCCGGUGAUUUUGCUGGCAUCGACGCAUAAUUUAGAGUCUGGCGCUUCAUUAUUGAGUGCAAAAUAUGGAAACCAAGCAGUGGACGCUUGCUGCAUGAAGUAACUGCCAUUUUAAGCGCCUGAUUUAGCGUCUCCGUGGUGUGGGUGCUCUUAGUAUGGCAUUUUUCAGUCGCAGAGUUUUGAACAAUCCCAUUAAGUCAAGAACUCGACAACAAUUCAUCAUUUCUCUCCCCUCUCCACCAAUCCCCAACCUCCUGGCAGCUCGCCUUGUGCUGGUGACUCCAUCUGCACAUGUGUGGCUGGUUGUGUCCCUUGCGGUGGCGAGUGGGUAGAUGUGGGCGUGGGCUUGGCCUGUUGUUGUAGGUUUUCGCCCGGUUUUCUCCAAAAAACUGGGCACCUUCUGCUUUUGCCUCCGUUUCAAAAAAAAAAAAAAUCUGCACAUGUGUGGCAUGUUUGGGCCAGGCCGGAAGUCGCAGCCCAAGCCUGGCUGAAAAUAUCUCCAGGUUGCAAAGCCAGGCGCAAGUACGGUCUCAUUGAACUCGCCGUGGAGGGUGAGUACUGGGACUUUCCGAGCGACCAUGUCCUAGAGGUUUUGGGUUUAGGGCAUCUCCAACGGGCGACAUAAACGGACGCUGAGCGACUGUUUGCGUCCGCGCGGGCCGAAAAUGCGUCUGGAACACGCUCAAGCGGGACAACGCAUAGUGUCCGGGCCGUCCGCAGCAACGCAAACGCGGCGCAUAUUUGCGCCUCGGAUGCGUCGCGGCGGACGCUGCGCGGACGCCCCAAGUGACCGCUCGCUUUUCCACCGGUCCCGCUUGGUAGCGAGCCUGUAUCGUGGGCAUCGCUUUCGUGGUCGCAGCCUUCGCCAUCAAUGUCGCGGCGCGCACUAGCGGGCGGCUGGGCUUCUGCGCCACCUUCAAUGGCAUCGUGUCCCGCGCACGGCCGGCCUUAAACGUUGACCGGCAUCGUUGCUGGCAUCGCCCACACCACGGACACCUCCACACCCACCACCGCCGCGCGCCGCUGCAGCACCAUGGGGAAGAAGAAGAACGACUUCGAGGCGUCCGGCAGCGGCACCAAGAAGGCAGAGCGGACGCACAGGGUGCUGCUGCCCGUCAACGUGGCGCGGCUCAUGCACGCGAACUGGACAGACGUGGCGGCUCAGCUACCUCCGGGUGCCCGUGCCUGCGCGCGAGCCAUAUAGGAGCGCUCAGAUCCGGCGCAGGCGGCGGUACCUGCCGCCGGACCUUCGCGCUGAUCCCGCCUACGCCCUCGACUCUGACACCUGGCGCACUUGGCGCGAGACCGAGAAGGAUCUGAGGAGGAGGGCGGGCUUCCUCGCCGACAGGGACUUCCCGUUUCACCAUCCACCGCCGCCUCGUCGUCGAACACGGCAGCCGCCGGCGCCUGCAAAGGACGACUACGACGACGAGGACUACAGCGAGGCGUUGGCCUACCAUAACGAGAAGACCAAGGACGACAGCGACGACUACGUCGCCUGCAUUUUCCAAGAAUGUCAGUUGGCCAUAGCGGAGGGCCGGGAGUUCGAGUACCCGGCGACGAUGACGGACGACGAGGUCGCGAGGCUCGGCGUCCUCGACUCAGAGGUGGACCGACCGGUGCAGCCGCCGCUGUCCCGGUUUGCCACCGGCAUGAUCCGGGCCUCACGGAGGAAGAGGCCCUAUGACGGGCGCUCGAGGACUCGGCCACGCAACCGGUUCAACCGCCGCCUCCACCUUCGCCAUACAACCCGUGGGGGCCUCCACCUCCACCACCGGCGUGGGCUGCUCAACCUCCACCACCGGAGUUGGCUGCUCCACUUCCACCACCGGUGUGGGCUGCUCCACCUCCACCACCGGCGUGGGCUGCUCCACCUCCACCACCGCCGGCGGCACCGGCGUAUGUUCCGCCGCUUCCCAACUGGCCGUGGCCGGUAUCGGAGCUGGCCGUGACCGACAGCGACGACGAGAACCAGUAGGCGCAGGCGUUCUUAGGGUUUUUAUUUUCCUUUCUUUUACUAUGUAAAUUAUGUUCAAAAAAUGCAAAAUCGAAAAAAUGUGUCGUGCCGCUGGAGCCACCCCCGACGCAAACGGACGAGCGGUCGAUUUCGACCAUUUGGGCCGACGCAAACGACGCGCGCGGACAUUUUCGGUGUCCGAAAUGCGUUGCCCUGUUGGAGAUGCCCUUAUGGUGGAGGCCGGAUAGCAGCAAGAUGACCAUAUCUGGGAGUGGAGGAGACCAGUGAGGACAAGCUGUCCAUGGCCCAUGGAUGUGGAGUGGUCUACUGGGUAUUUUUCUAGCUUGGAGGUCUCUUAUCCAGCUCUGUGGCCAGAACACAGCUUGGGAGGCGACGGAAGUGGCGGGGAACGAUAAGGGAUGAAGGAUGUGAAAGAGGCCAUGCAUUGUUGUCUAAGUUUAACAUAAUAUAACCAAUCUAUUUGAAAACCAAUCUUGAACUCGCCGUGGAGAGUGAGUCUGUAUAGCGAAGGAAAAAGGCGCUGGUUUCUCCUGCUAUCUGUACAGACGACUUGUUGUCUCCCGUCAGCUCUCCAGAUGACUUGUUGUCUCCCUCCAGCUGCCGGGAUGACUUGGCGUUGUUUAGUUGACACUGACAACCUUAGAGGCUGUGUGAAACCAAAAAUUUACUUAAAGAAAACAGCAGAGUAUUUUUUUUUCUGAAGUAAGUUAUGACAAUUUGUCAAU